UACGUAGGCAGCAAGCGUUGUUCGGAGUUACUGGGCGUAAAGGGUGUGUAGGCGGUUGGUUAAGUGUGGUGUGAAAUCUUCCGGCUUAACUGGGAGGGUGCGCUACAAACUGUCUGACUAGAGUGUGGGAUGGGAGAGUGGAAUUCCUGGUGUAGCGGUGAAAUGCGUAGAUAUCAGGAGGAACACCGGUGGUGUAGACGGCUCUCUGGACCAUAACUGACGCUGAGACACGAAAGCGUGGGUAGCAAACAGG
rnacentral:rRNA from 1 species